rnacentral:pre_miRNA from 1 species
UAGCCUCUACUAGGCUUUGUCUGUGUGAGUUUAAAGAAUAUCAGACAUAGCCUAAAAGAGGUUAGG